CAAUAGCGUAUAUUAAAGUUGUUGCGGUUAAAAAGCUCGUAGUUGGAUUUCUGUUGAGGACGACCGGUCCGCCCUCUGGGUGAGUAUCUGGCUCGGCCUUGGCAUCUUCUUGGAGAACGUAACUGCACUUGACUGUGUGGUGCGGUAUCCAGGACUUUUACUUUGAGGAAAUUAGAGUGUUUAAAGCAGGCUUUUGCUAUGAAUACAUUAGCAUGGAAUAAUAAUCUAGGACUUCGGUUCUAUUUUGUUGGUUUCUUAGUACUGAAGUAAUGAUUGAUAGGGAGUAGUUGGGGGUGGCUAGUAUUGUAGCGGCCGAGAGGUGAAAUUACUUGGAUUCGCUCAAGACUAACUUAUGCGAAGACAUUCACCAACGGAUGUCUUCUUUAA
rnacentral:rRNA from 1 species